rnacentral:rRNA from 1 species
GACGAACGCUGGCGGCGUGCUUAACACAUGCAAGUGGAGCGACGAACCAGGGCUUGCCCUGGGGCAGAGCCGCGAACGGGUGAGUAACACGUGGGUUACCUGCCCCGAUGACCGGGACAACCCGAGGAAACUCGGGCUAAUACCGGAUGUGGUCUUCGGACGAAAGGAAGCUUCGGCCUCCGCAUCGGGAUGGGCCCGCGGCGCAUUAGCUUGUUGGUGGGGUAAUGGCCUACCAAGGCGACGAUGCGUAGCUGGUCUGAGAGGACGAUCAGCCACACUGGGACUGAGACAGCCCAGACUCCUACGGGAGGCAGCAGUGGGGAAUCUUGCGCAAUGCGCGAAAGCGUGACGCAGCAACGCCGCGUGGGGGAAGAAGGCCUUCGGGUUGUAAACCUCUUUCAGUUGGGACGAAGCUCCGCCGGUUAAUAGCCGGCUGGAGUGACGGUACCUUCAGAAGAAGCCCCGGCUAACUACGUGCCAGCCGCCGUAACAC